UGGGGGCUUUUCCAUGCAAGUCGAACGGUAACAGGGAGCUUGCUCCGCUGACGAGUGGCGAACGGGUGAGUAAUGCGUCGGAACGUGCCGAGUAGUGGGGGAUAACUAUCCGAAAGGAUAGCUAAUACCGCAUACGCUUUGAGAAGGAAAGCAGGGGAUCGUAAGACCUUGCGCUAUUUGAGCGGCCGACGUCUGAUUAGCUAGUUGGUGAGGUAAAGGCUCACCAAGGCAUCGAUCAGUAGCGGGUCUGAGAGGAUGAUCCGCCACACUGGGACUGAGACACGGCCCAGACUCCUACGGGAGGCAGCAGUGGGGAAUUUUGGACAAUGGGCGCAAGCCUGAUCCAGCCAUGCCGCGUGUCUGAAGAAGGCCUUCGGGUUGUAAAGGACUUUUGUCAGGGAGGAAAUUCCUAGCGCUAAUAUCGCUUGGGGAUGACAGUACCUGAAGAAUAAGCACCGGCUAACUACGUGCCAGUAGCCGCG
rnacentral:rRNA from 1 species